AAUAGACCAGGUCAUAUUCACUGAGGGGUUUAAUAGACCAGGUCAUAUUCAUAUUCACUGAGGGGUUUAAUAGACCAGGUCAUAUUCAUAUUCACUGAGGGGUUUAAUAGACCAGGUCAUAUUCACUGAGGGGUUUAAUAGACCAGGUCAUAUUCACUGAGGGGUUUAAUAGACCAGGUCAUAUUCAUAUUCACUGAGGGGUUUAAUAGACCAGGUCAUAUCCACUGAGGGGUUUAAUAGACCAGGUCAUAUUCAUAUUCACUGAGUGGUUUAAUAGACCAGGUCAUAUUCACUGAGGGGUUUAAUAGACCAGGUCAUAUUCACUGAGGGGUUUAAUAGACCAGGUCAUAUUCACUGAGGGGUUUAAUAGACCAGGUCAUAUUCAUAUUCACUGAGGGGUUUAAUAGACCAGGUCAUAUCCACUGAGGGGUUUAAUAGACCAGGUCAUAUUCAUAUUCACUGAGGGGUUUAAUAGACCAGGUCAUAUUCACUGAGGGGUUUAAUAGACCAGGUCAUAUUCACUGAGGGGUUUAAUAGACCAGGUCAUAUUCAUAUUCACUGAGGGGUUUAAUAGACCAGGUCAUAUUCACUGAGGGGUUUAAUAGACCAGGUCAUAUUCAUAUUCACUGAGGGGUUUAAUAGACCAGGUCAUAUUCAUAUUCACUGAGGGGUUUAAUAGACCAGGUCAUAUUCAUAUUCACUGAGUGGUUUAAUAGACCAGGUCAUAUUCACUGAGUGGUUUAAUAGACCAGGUCAUAUUCACUGAGGGGUUUAAUAGACCAGGUCAUAUUCACUGAGGGGUUUAAUAGACCAGGUCAUAUUCACUGAGUGGUUUAAUAGACCAGGUCAUAUUCACUGAGGGGUUUAAUAGACCAGGUCAUAUUCACUGAGGGGUUUAAUAGA